CUCAGUGCUCACACUUCCCACUAACUGCCAGCAUCCCCUACAACAUGGCCCACGUCUCAAGGGAUUGGAAGGAGCCCCCGCAGAGGCCAUCGGCACGGACUAGAAUGCAACCCAGUGGGGCAUCCACCGAUGUGGUCAAACGCUCAGCCAAGAUGGUGGGAAGCGUUCAGACAGAAGUAACUUCUAAAACAUUGCUAGGGAAACGCUCUGACAUCUUCCGUAGAGGUGAAAAAGCACAGGUCUGACUCAGGUAGCUGCGAGUUCAAGUUCAGCCGCAGGCUCUUCCCCAAGGUGCUGGUCUUCGCAGGAACCCCUUGCAGGCAGCUGCAAAGAGCAGCACGGCGCGCACACACAGGGUCCGGCUGGCGUCUGGCCAGAGCAAGGGAACAGUAAGUGUGUCCUGGAGGCGCUCGCCAUGCACUCACACGCCAUCUGUGGAUUCGGAAGUGACCUCCCCCUCGGUUGAUGAGGGUUCUCUGCGUCUGGAGAACACAGGACGUCCACAGGAAAGUUCUCCCUCCUGCACUCCCGGCUGGCUCUGAAAAUUAUGAAGGCAGAGACGU
rnacentral:lncRNA from 1 species